rnacentral:rRNA from 1 species
UACGUAGGGGCCUAGCGUUGUCCGGAUUUAUUGGGCGUAAAGAGCUCGUAGGCGGCUUGUCGCGUCGUUCGUGAAAACCCAUGGCUCAACUGUGGGCUUGCGGUCGAUACGGGCAGGCUAGAGUUCGGUAGGGGAGACUGGAAUUCCUGGUGUAGCGGUGAAAUGCGCAGAUAUCAGGAGGAACACCGGUGGCGAAGGCGGGUCUCUGGGCCGAUACUGACGCUGAGGAGCGAAAGCGUGGGGAGCGAACAGG